AGUGAACGCUGGCGGUAGGCCUAACACAUGCAAGUCGAACGGCAGCACAGUAAAAGCUUGCUUUUACGGGUGUCGAGUGGCGGACGGUUGCGGAAUACAUCGGAAUCUACUUUUUCGUGGGGUAUAACGAAGGGAAACUUACGCUAAACCCUCAUACAACCUACGGGGGAAAGCAGGGACUCUUCGGACCUUGCGCGAUUGAAUGAGCCACUGUCGGAUUAGCUAGUUGGCGGGGUAAAGGCCCACAAAGGCGACGAUCCGUAGCUGGUAUGAGAGGGUGAUCAGCCACACUGGAACUGAGACACGGUCCAGACUCCUACGGGAGGCAGCAGUGGGGAAUAUUGGAGAAUGGGCGAAAGCCUGAUACAGCCAUACCGCGUGGGUGAAGAAGGCCUUCGGGUUGUAAAGCCCUUUUGUUGGGAAAGAAAAGCAGCAGGUUAAUACCCCGCUGUUAUGACGGUACCCAAAGAAUAAGCACUGGCUAACUUCGUG
rnacentral:rRNA from 1 species